UGUUCCCAUCUAAAAUUCAGAGAAGAGAGAAAGACGAGUUAUGGCUGCUGCUGAAGAAGAGAUCGAUGGGUUCGUUGCUGGUGAAGCUGAUGCUGCUGGAAUUUGUGAAUCUGUCAAGGAUUUGUCACUACUGCUGCUACAGAUCGAGAAUGAAAUGGAGCUCGACAAGGAAGAAUUGUUAAUGGGUUUGUUGGUUGAAUCAAGGAAGAGAUGGAACUGAAAGUGAGCUGUUAUGGUGAAACUAGGGUUCUGAGAUACAGAAUCAGAGAAUUGUUGGUCUUGAAAUUGAAGAUGGGUCAGUGACGGUCUCAGAAACUAGGGUUGAAUGGAAAGUUGUUGCUUUGCAAAUGUUUACAGGGUUCCAGGUAGGGUUCUUAAUCGAGAAAACAACAAAGAAUUUGGGCAAUUGCCGUGGAUGAAGAAGAAAUUGGAGAUACAAUGGGUUUUUGUCGAUGGGUUAUUGGUGGAUGAAUGAGAUGAAUGUUGUGGUUGCUGUUACAGGGUGAUUCGGAACGAACUGAUGAAGACUAAUGGAUUUUUGGUGGUGGCUGUGUAGAGCUGGAGGUUAUUGCAGUUGCAAAUGGUUGAUUGAGGUUUAUCUCAAGGAUGGUGGAGCUGUAUAUUUCAGUCAUCUACCUAUGUCUCAGAUGGUGGAUUGGUCUGUGGUUAUGUUGCAGGCAAAACACAGGGAAAGAAUUCAGAACAUGGGUUUAUGAUGAUUGCAGGUGGCAGGCAGAGUUGGAACUGAUGCCGUGUGUUUACAGUGGAGUCAUGGGAGAUUGCAAGGGGUAUUUGCAGCUGAAACAGCAGAAAUGAUGGUGUUGUGAGCAGCUGAGAACACAAAUGAAAUGGUACUCCUGUCGAAGUUGUGGUGACUAAGGAACUGUUGGAAAUAGGAUUUGUUCUUGCUGUUAACUGAAAUGGAUGGUAGAGAAGAUGAAUUACAGGCUUGGGUUGAUUUGAAGUUGCAAGCUGGUGAUAAUGGAAGAGUGGUAAAGUUAAAGUUGCAGCUAUGAGCAACUGAAAUGGCCUCGAGCUGGUGCUGAUGGAUUAUGAAGAAAUGCUGAAGCUGUGACUGAGAUGGAGUUGCAGGUGCUGCUGUGUGGGUGCUGAAGUCCAUGUUUUGAAAUAGCAGUGGUAGUUGCAAUGGUUAGGCCGUGGUGGUGAGCUGAAAUGGAGUGGUUGUUUGCAGAAGAAAUGGUUGGUGUUUGAAGCCAGAGAAUGUGUGUAUGAGCUGAAUGCAGAGAGAAUUGGCAUGAACUGCAGUUAUGUGUGGAAUUACAGAAGAACAAAGAAUUGAUGCCAGUUAACUGGUGGUGCACAAGAAGGAAAUGGAAUUGAGCCGAGGCAAUGAAACGAUGGAACUGCUAAUGGUGCUAUGCGUAUUUGUGGUUACAGGAAGGAUGCAGUGGUGCUGCUGCUGGUGGUAUGUUAGAGAUGCAGUUUGCAAGGAAGCUACAGAUGGUAGUGAGUUGGUAUUGCAGCUGGGAAUUGCUUCUACAGUAUAUGCAGUACAAGAUGGAGCUGAGCAAGGCAAUGGCUCUGGUUAUGUUGCAGAGCUGAGUGAUUACUGGCUUUGUGAGCUGGUAAGAAGGAUUGAAGAGCAAUGAAAAUGCUGAGUUGAGUUAUUGAUUGCCGGAAGGAGAGUAGAACAGAAUGAAGGUGCUGUAAAUACUUGAAUAUAUGCUCAGGGUAACUGUGCAGGGGAAGUAUGAGUUUCAGAAUGGCCUGAGAUACGGAAAUGAGCCAGAAUACAAGCAGAACUUGCCGGAAUCGGUUAUGAGCGAGUUGACUCAUUGAGUUAUCCGAGUUGACAGAGAAGGGUUGGACCUGUAUUGAACGGGCUAUGGCUGCCAAUGGGCUGAAACGUGGUCAGGCCUUGGUCAACAUUUUGGAAACCUACUCACACAACAGGAGAAGCUAUAUAAGUUCUCUAAUUCUAAUCUUUCGGGGAUCUUAUCUAUCUUCUUUUUUAUUUUUGUUCUAGGGUUUAGGAACAUGUUAGGUUUUCUUUUCCUUCUUAUUAUGAACUCCAUGAACAUGAAUACUUAAUUUUCUUUUGGUUAUGGAUUAGUGGGAUUUCACA